rnacentral:rRNA from 1 species
AUUGAACGCUGGCGGCAUGCCUUACACAUGCAAGUCGAACGGCAGCACGGGUGCUUGCACCUGGUGGCGAGUGGCGAACGGGUGAGUAAUACAUCGGAACAUGUCCUGUAGUGGGGGAUAGCCCGGCGAAAGCCGGAUUAAUACCGCAUACGAUCCACGGAUGAAAGCGGGGGACCUUCGGGCCUCGCGCUAUAGGGUUGGCCGAUGGCUGAUUAGCUAGUUGGUGGGGUAAAGGCCUACCAAGGCGACGAUCAGUAGCGGGUCUGAGAGGACGACCAGCCACACUGGGACUGAGACACGGCCCAGACUCCUACGGGAGGCAGCAGUGGGGAAUUUUGGACAAUGGGCGAAAGCCUGAUCCAGCAAUGCCGCGUGUGUGAAGAAGGCCUUCGGGUUGUAAAGCACUUUUGUCCGGAAAGAAAUCCUUGACUCUAAUACAGUCGGGGGAUGACGGUACCGGAAGAAUAAGCACCGGCUAACUACGUG